rnacentral:lncRNA from 1 species
AAAUAGAUGAUUUGUGCUUGAAUCUAGGGAUGUAAUGGUGGAUUUUUACCUAGUUGUAAUCUAGGGCUUCAAAUUGGGGUUUUGAGAAAUUAUGGGGUUUGAUCUAAAUUGAACCUCUGUAAACCUAAUUGCUAGGUAUUCUGACGCGUUGGCGAAGUCGGUUCGGCGAUCCGUCGAGCCUGUGCAAGAUAUUGAAGAAAAGGCCUGUUGAGGUACAGAUUGCCGCAGCACGCAGCGUAGGCGUU